CCUACGGGUGGCAGCAGUGAGGAAUAUUGGUCAAUGGGAGGAAUCCUGAACCAGCCAUGCCGCGUGCAGGACGACGGCUCUACGAGUUGUAAACUGCUUUUGUACCGGGGUAAAAUGCUCUACGAGUAGGGUUUUGAAAGUACGGUACGAAUAAGGAUCGGCUAACUCCGUGCCAGCAGCCGCGGUAAUACGGAGGAUCCGAGCGUUAUCCGGAUUUAUUGGGUUUAAAGGGUGCGCAGGCGGAUUUUUAAGUCAGCGGUCAAAUCGUGGGGCUCAACCCCAUCCAGCCGUUGAAACUGGGGAUCUAGAGUGUGCGAGAGGUAUGCGGAAUGCGUGGUGUAGCGGUGAAAUGCAUAGAUAUCACGCAGAACCCCGAUUGCGAAGGCAGCAUACCGGUGCACAACUGACGCUCAGGCACGAAAGCGUGGGUAUCGAACAGGAUUAGAUACCCUUGUAGUC
rnacentral:rRNA from 1 species